AGAAAUUCCGCGUUGCAUCCGUAUGUAUCCCUUCUCUCCCCAAUCUGCUCCCCACGAGUUCUUCACUAUCCAGUACUUGGUUCCGUCGUCGCUCGUAUCAUAACCAACCACCGCUACUCCAUGAUUCAACUCCGUUCCACAUUUUCCGGUAAAAACUCCCUGUUAAAUCGUAUCAUUAACUGCUCAUAUUUAGGUUUUUUGAUCGUAAACAAAUUCGUUUUCGUAAAAAUUCAAAUAAACAACACCAUAAACGAGCGAUUUAGGAUAACUUAAGGGUGUUCAGUUGGUGAUUUGGACUCGAAAAAUCAAACAUAUUUGGUUUCCACUUUGAUUUUUGUGAUGUAGGUUUCCAAACCAAAUUAGAUGUAAUCUGUCUAUGUGAGUUUUGAGAUACCUCUGAAUAGAGCUGGAAAUCAGAACUUCCAGCAUCAAUGGCAACAGAUACAGGCUGGUUAGCAACUGCUUUCAUUAGAGAAUCCUCAUCAUUAGCUGGCACAUCCUCAUGUCCAUCAAUCGAUACUACUUGAUUUUCCACCUGUAAUUCCAAAAUUGAUUCACAUGAACAUCCGAUUUACAAGUUUUCAUCCCUGGGAUCUUUCAAACAGAAGUUGUACCUUUACUUUAUUGCAACUUCCAUCUGCAGCUGUGUAAGGGUAGUUAUCUUCAGUAGUUAGACCUCCGUUCUUUUUAAUGAAAUCAAAUGCCAUGUCCAUUAGUCCUCCAUUACAUCCAUGGUUUUCACCAGUGUCACAAUCCACAAGUUCUUGUUCUGAUAAGGAUACUAGUUUCUUGGUUUUGAUCUGGUUUAUUCCUUCUACUGCAACCACAGUUGAAAAUGCCCAGCAACUUCCUGUAAUACAUACCCAUGAUCAUUUAUUCAUCCAACGCUUAUCAUGGAAAUAAAGAAACAUAGCCUCACACACAAGAGGAAAAGAAGGUGUUAGUGUUACCACAUCGGCCUUGAUUCUUGACAGGGGUGACUGCAUUUUCCUUUCUCCAAUCAACCGAGUCAGGGACAUUAUCGUCAUUUGCAUACAUGAAACCCUUACUUCCAAUACGCUCUCCUUUCAGCAUCCGGUGAUGGCUUAUCUUUGAUCCAGCAUACAUGCUUCUAAACUCAUGGUUAGUCAUGUCAGCAAACUUGUUCAACUUUAACUUAUACGGUUUUUUCAUCUUGUUUGUGUUGUGAACAUGUUGCAGGUUGAACUUGAACACAUUGAACCGCUUGAGUUUCUCUUGGCGGCUUAUCUCCGCCACAUGGUGGUGGCUCCUCCACCUCCGGUACAAAUCCCACAAACUCUCCUCUGUUUCAAGCUCUUUCUCGCUAUAAUCAAAUCCCUUCACAAAGCCUAGAACCAAAAACAAAGUAAACGAAAAUAAAACUAAGUUAUUGAUUUCCAUUUCUUACUACUUUUCUUAGAUAUUGAUUGGGAUUGAAAGUUAUGAACUUGGUGAUUGGUUUAUAUAGAGGAGACUGAUUGCUAAUGAGAUUAAAUGAUUAGAGGUUGAGUGCAUGAGAGGUGACUUAUGGCCAUGAAACACACUCAAUGGAAGUAAAUUGUAUUUUCUACUUUCUAUUCUAAUGUUGAAAACUAAAUAAGAUAAUAUGACACUUGUUGAACUCUCAUGUGCUUUGUCAUUGCCUAAAAAGACCAAAUAUAAGGACUUGUUGCUCUUGUUU
rnacentral:lncRNA from 1 species